CAAGAAUAUUAGUCAAUGCUCGUAAGAGUGAACUAGCUAACUGAAAUCUUAAUAUUUUUUUAUUGUUAAGAUAAGGUAAGAGAAAAUAAUGAUAUUAUCUUACUAUUAGUGUCGUCUAAAUUUGGUGCCAGAAGACUCGGUAAGACCUUAGACGCAAACGUUAAUCGUCAUAAUCAGGCGUAAAGGGUGUGUAGGCGGCUUUAAAAUAUAAUUUAUUUAUAUUAAAAUUAAAGCUAGAAUCUAAAAGAGGGUAAGCUAAACAACAUAAUUAAUUAGGACUGACAACUUAUAAUAAUGUGGAGUACUAAAGGUUAAAGCUAUUUAUCUACUUAAGAUUGACGCUCAGAAACGAAGGGGAGAAUAAGAAACUUAGAUUAGAUACCUAAUUAUCUCUCUCAGUCAACGAUGAAUGGUAGUUAUUAAAAAUACAAAUAUAAUAACAAAUUAUAUAUAAAUUAGUAACGAGGUUAACACGAUGACCAUUCCGCCUUGUUAGUAAGACUGCAAAGUUGAAAACAAAAAAAUUAGUCGGUCUUGAAGCAAACGAAGUGAAGCAUGUUAUUUAAUUCGAUAAUCCGCA
rnacentral:rRNA from 1 species